UAGCCUAACCGAGUGAGUGCAGAGCAACAGUGCCUCAGUCUGACAGAACGUGAACGCCAGCAAACACUCCCAACCGUCUCGGCUUUCUCACGUUUAAUUGGAGCACGUAGAGCUCAGCCACGAGCCAGGACGUAAAGGGGAUACCCCUUGCUGGGAUGCAGACUCGGCUAGAAAGCAGGAAGAGCUCUUGUGCGAUGGCCUUGCUGGUGGCUUUUCGGAGAGGAACUGCCUCUGGAUCCCAGCGGCAUAGUCAACAAUCACCAGGAUGUGUUUAUGUCCCCUCAUCGACCUCAACAAGGUCCAUUCAGGGGCCCCUCAAUGGUUAUGCUGCUCAGAGAACUGCAUUCAUAACUGGAAACUGCCCCUGGGGUGCUGCGGAAGCAACAAAAUCCUUUAUUCCUUGGAUCACAUGAAACAUUGAGAUCAAUAUUUCCUAUGAAUCUCUCUAACCAUCGACAACUUCCAGAUAUAAUCCAGCCCAUGCAGAACCUUCUCAGUCAGGUACAGCUGAGCUACUUUAGCUGAAUUACUGAUGAUCCUUCAUCUUGCCACUGGUAAUAAAAACUCAUAAAAAAAAAGAGCAGAGUAAACCACUUCCAGGAGGAGUUUUUGAGAAACGUAAACUGAAAGGAAGAAG